CGGGCGUAUUUCGCCUCACAGUAGGUCGCCGCGACCCGUUGCUUUUGGGGACGUCGAAGGCCCGGACGGAUUGGUACCCUACCGGCUGGGGAUGCGGCUUCGGCUUCUCCUCUUGUCCGGUGGGCGAAACCGCCGGUGUCCUGGCUGCCCUGCGACGGUCGUAGAGACGAGCCCUCCCCUUCGGGGGGGCGGCUCUCGCGGCGUGCAAAAGGUCGGUGAUCCACCCGACCCGUCUUGAAACACGGACCAAGGAGUCUAACAUGUGUGCGAGUCAGUGGGCGCACUAAACCCAGAGGCGUAAUGAAAGUGACACGGGUUCGGCUGUCGCCUCGUGUGGCAGCCGGACUCAGGGCCGAUCCCUCACCGGUUGCCCUCGCCUCUCUCCCGCGUCUCGGUAAGCCGGGUGAGCUAUUUUCCCCGGCCGCUGCUGCGGGGCGGCGGGGGGAGGCGGGGUGCGAUGGUGUCCGUAAAAAAGAGCCUGCUGUUGCAGGGGGGCGCAGGCCCGGGACUUGCCAGGACGCCGCGAGACUGUCACUUUGCUGUGAGGCUCUCGGGCCGAUCAGCGGGUCAUGCGUGCAGUCGGCAAGUACCAUGAGCAGACAUGUUGGGACCCGAAAGAUGGUGAACUAUGCCUGGCCAGGAUGAAGCCAGAGGAAACUCU
rnacentral:rRNA from 1 species